rnacentral:rRNA from 1 species
GCGCAACCCCUCGCAUUCAGUUGCCAUCGGGUGAAGCCGGGCACUCUGGAAGGACUGCCAUCGACAAGAUGGAGGAAGGUGGGGACGACGUCAAGUCAUCAUGGCCCUUAUGUCCAGGGCGACACACGUGCUACAAUGGCCGGCACAACGGGAAGCGAGUUCGCGAGGACGAGCGGAUCCCUUAGAGCCGGUCGCAGUUCGGAUUGAAGUCUGCAACUCGACUUCAUGAAGCUGGAAUCGCUAGUAAUCGCAGAUCAGCCAAGCUGCGGUGAAUACGUUCCCGGGCCUU